CAGUUAGUUGAGUGGAGAUUUGCUUUGGUUGUGUUGUUCAGUUGGGUAAAGGAGCAGCUAUGAUCAUUGAAAGCUUGGGGUUGUACUUCCACAUUCAGUGUUUUAUGUGUGGAAUAUGUAAAGGGUUACUUGGAGACACAAGUGCUGGAACUGACGUCAGAAUUCGAAAUGGACUUCUUAAUUGUCAAGAAUGCUACAUAAAAUCAAGAGCUGCUGGCCAGCCAACAACAUUGUGAUGCCUCUGCACUUCUGACAAAGAAAUGGAACUGAAAUCAGGUUAAACCGACCCAGGACCAUACCCAAGAAGAACGGAUUUCACGUUUAUACAACGUUUUCCAUACAGAGCAAUCAAGCAUAGACAUUAAAGUCCAAAAUCAGGAAUCAUGGACACAUGAUGGGUUUUCCUCUGGACUUUCUUUGACUGUCAUUGUGCCCGCUGAAAAACAACCUUAUCGCUUACAUGAUAAAAAGUCCGUAAGAUAUUACUACGAUUACAGAGACUACAGCGAGUCUGUUCAUACUGUUAGUUUUACACUUUAGAAUGAGAAGUGACGGUAGCACUCUACCUCACAGUGGCCAUGUUACACACAUCUCAAUAGCAAUAAGGCCAGAAACAUAUUUUACACAAAUGCAGAUUAAUGUGUCAGUAUCUCAAAGGCUGAGAUAGAGAUCAGUCAAAUGCCUGUGCCAUAAACUCAAAUAAUAUCUAGGUAGCUGUUAACACUCUCACAACACUUGUCAGUGGGGCAGUACCUUUUCAAAAUGUACUAAUAUGUACCUUAAAGGUACUAAUUAUUUUUUGAGAGUGUAUAAACGAUAUAAACUUCUAAAAUCAAGAUUCUCUUGAAAUGGUUGCCUCAUGACAGUAGUCUGCCUAAAAGAGAAAACUGAUUUGUAGAAGCUAUUGGGUCAAGGCUAACUACAUCAUUCUGGGAGCAAAAAAACAUAUUUUGCCAUUGACGGCCAUUCAAAAGUAACAUUGUAUUCUGACUAAAUAAGCAACUCAAGGCUGUAAACAUGUCUUCAGCAUUGGGGGGACCAUUUUUUGGAGGGGGUUUGUAACGGAAUUUUUAUUUAAAGGAAUUAAAUAACUAAAGGAUUCUUUAAAAAUAUGAAAGAAAUAAGAAUAGCGUAAUAAGAAAAAGAAUACUUUUUUAUUGUAAAAUUAUCUAUUUGAAGUGUUUGCAAAUAUUUUUAUUUAAAAAUUUACCACCAUUCACUCUUAUUCAUAUGCCUGUGUGAAAAAUGGCAACCUGAUUCAAAAUGGCAAAAACUGGAUAUUACUUUUGGUUGUUUAAAAAAAAGUUUCAAAUAUUAAAUGUUUAGUUGCUUACCUUGCACUCUUUCACUGUUUGUUAUCUGUGAACAGUAAAGCCAGCGUGAAUAUGACUUUUGACAUUUUUUCAGUAUCAGGAAUAUGACAUAUUGAAUUUAUAAAUGGCAGAUAUCAACAUUUUCAUGUUUUUGCCAGUGACAUUUUUGAUGCCUCUUAUAAGUGAAAUCAACGUCAUAGUUUAGUAUACUCACUACUGAGGGUGCAUAGCUAGAAUCAUCUACAUUCACAUACUUGUUUAGAGUAUGUUUUCGGCCUAACACCACUGACAUGGAAUUAUAAACUUCCACAAAUUAACUACAUAUUGACUACAAUCGUUCAUGAGUAUUACUCAAGUACUUGUGGAAAUGCAUUGUAACAUGGGCACUGUAAUGUAGAGUGAGACUGAAUCCAUUUCCAUUGUGAGGAACAUGAGGUAGCACAAAUGUCCAGUUUUCAUUUAAGAAAAUUUAGCAUUAAUAAUAAUCUCAGUUUUUGUAAAGGUCUUGCAGGUAUGUGACGUUAUUUUCAAAUGUUCCACUAACAGACGAACGCAUAAUGUGCAACUCUUAGGCCUAGCUGAUUCGUCCUGAUGCCUUAACUGACAACGUGAAAUAAAUACAGAGAAGACUGUCCAUCACUUUUUUUUUCAUUUAUGUUUUGCAAACAUGAACUGGAGUGGUUUUGAUUGAAAUGUUUUCUCAUUGCCUGUUUUAUCUUGUUUGAUAAGUGAGGGGUUUGAUACUUUAUUUGUGCAGUAUUGUUUAACAGCAUGUUGCUAAUGGGUAGAUCUUACAUUUCCAUUCGAUUAUUUUUCAAAAUUUGUUUUUAAUAUUUACGUUUUGCUCUGCAGUUGAAUAGUAAGAAGAUUGCAUGAUCCCUGAAACUUUCCUUGAUUUUGCUUUACAUUACAAUGUUCAAGUUACACAUAUAUUACACACUACUAAGAUGAAUGACUAAAAAGUAAUAACAUUAACUGUGCAAAGCAGCUCCACAUAAUCAGAAGCAUAUUAUGUAAUAACCUAUAAACACUGUAAUGUAAAGUGUAACCCUUUUCUUUUAGUUUUUUUUUUUAAUAUUCCGUUUAAAUCAGUUUUAUGUGUUCUGUUGCCUUUCUCUCUUCUGUGAUGUUGUGCCUUAGAAAUGUGCUUCUAGAUAACGUCUAGUGUCGGCCACCCUUGCAUCCAAAGCUUCAAGUUACCAAUGUGUACUGAUGAGAGUAUUAUGCAUAUGCACUGAGCACUCUGCUUUUACCCUUGUACUUUAUUCAAACACUAUGAAUGUGCAAACAAGAGAUUUAUAAAAUCAAACUAAAACUAGCACCCUCUGUAAGCUUUUCACUCAUUUCAUGUGCAUUUAGAGAUGUAAAAUUGUUAAAUAUAUCUAUAUUUAUCUAAAUCUACUGAAAAGGAUUGCAAUCCUAAAUGUCACCAAAAUAUCAAAUUCAA